rnacentral:ncRNA from 1 species
UGUGGAAAAUGUCAGCGGUUCAAGUCUUCUUAUCUCCAGCCCGUGAUCCUAGACAAUACAAUGGUAUAUGAUAGCACACAAUUAUAUGAAAAUGAGCAUAGAUCCAAAUAUUUUUGAAUAGGUUAACCUUUUUAAUUGUUGCUUAAUCCAUGGCUAGGCAAGAGAAAACCUAGCGAACUGAAACAUCUUAGUAACCAGAGGAAUAGAAAGAAAAAGCAAUUCCCGUAGUAGCGACGAAUGAAAUGGGAGUAACCUAAACCGUGAAAAUGAGGUUGUGGGAGAGCACAAUAUAAGAUCUGUGCUAUUAGGUGAAGUGGUUGAGUCCUUCACCCUUGAUGGUGAGAGUCCAGUAUCCAGAAGCAUCAUUGGGUUAUGCUCUAACCUGAGUAGCAUGGAGCACGUGGAAUCCCAUGUGAAUCAACAAGGACGACCUUGCAAGGCUAAAUACUCUUGGGUGAGUGAUAGGGAAGUACUACCGUGAGGGAAAGAUGAAAAGAACCUGCAUCGGGGAGUGAAAUAGAACAUGAAACUAUAAGCUCCCAAGCAGUGGGAGGAAAAUGAUAUCUUUGACCACAUGCCUACUGAAGAAUGAGUAGUUGACUUAUAGGCAAUGGCUUGGUUAAGGUAACCCACCGAAGCUAUAGAAAGAGCGAGUCUUCAUGGGGAAAUUGUCACUCCUUAUGGACCCGAACCUGGUUGAUCUAUCCAUGACUAGGAGGAAGCUUGGGUGAAACUAAGUGGAGAUUCGAACCGAUUGAUGUUGAAAAAUCAGUGGAUGAGUCAUGGUUAGGGAUGAAAUUCCACUCGAACCCAGAGUUAGUUGGUUCUCCUGGAAAUGUGUAGAGGCACUACAGUUGACUGGAACAUCUAGGGGUAAAGCACUAUUUUGGUACGAGCCGCG